rnacentral:rRNA from 1 species
ACGGAGGGUGCGAGCGUUGUUCGGAAUCAUUGGGCGUAAAGGGCGUGUAGGUGGUCUGUUAAGUCAUGUGUGAAAGCCCUCAGCUUAACUGGGGAAGUGCGCAUGAAACUGACAGGCUAGAGUACCGAAGAGGAAGGUGGAAUUCCUGGUGUAGCGGUGAAAUGCGCAGAUAUCAGGAAGAACACCCGUGGCGAAGGCGGCUCUCUGGUCCACAACUGACGCUGAGGUGCGAAAGCUAGGGGAGCAAACGGGA